GAAAAGCAGAAGAAAGAAGUACUUCUGAUAUUUUAGCUUACACAAAUCUUUAAAACAGUAGUUUAAAUUGUAUUAUUGCACCAUGUCUGUUUUAUGCUGCUAAUGAUGUUUUUAGGACAGUUUCUACAAGAUUAGAGCAUGAUUUCUUCUACCAAUUGUCUGUUAAAUUCGCAUCUAUGCAUAAAAAAUUGGAGAUAUAUCAGACUGUCUUGAAGUGAAUAAAUAUUAGACAAAUCAAGGGCUGGAAAUAGCUAAUCCGGACAAUACUUGCUUAGUUCCUUUCGAAAUAUAUCAUUUACCAUUUAUCGCAAAUUUACUAGCAAAUGUCAAAGAAGAAAUGAAAUACAAACCAAACCCUGGUCCACUGCUUGCCAAAUAUGGUAACCGAUAAACGUCGGCCUUUUCCAGCUUCAGGACAUAGCUGCAAAACAAGCGCAUUCAGAGAAAGUAAAGCACGUACGUAUAAAAGUAAUUGCUUCUGCAACAUAAAGCAGCUCAAGCUCCUCAGGUACUGAGGAAAAUGGCUAUCUUUACAAAUCUUUAGCUGUCCCUCCAUUGGCAUGCUUAAAUUUUAAGAACAGGAUAGUGUCUGUGUCUUCACAUCUGUGCUAUCGUCUCUGCAAGCGUUAGCGCUCAGAACAGACUCUGAAUUGCAGACUUGCAUGUAUUUAUUGAUUUUGUUUGAAGGUAAUUUGAUUACUUCCAGAUGGUUAUAAGGAAAUAGCAGCAGCAACAAAGGAAGAAAUGCAAGCAUGAUUUGGAUCAUCGAUCUAGGCAAGAAAUAUAGACAUUAACAUGCAAUUGACAUUAGCUACUUGAGGGUAACGUAGAAGCAGUAACAAACUAAGGUGCAAGUUACAUAGAGAUCUGAAUAUAAUAUUGAUAACUGUUGGUGAAUAAUAUAAAACUAUUUCUAGGAACUCACCUAACAGUUUAAAUUUCACCUAACAGUUUAAAUUUUUAAAUUGAGAUGGUUAUUUGACAUGAAAUUACAACAUGGUUAUUUGACAUGAAAUUACAACUUGCUUGAUCAAGCGGUCACGAGUUCGAAUCUCAUCACCACCAUUCUAUUUGAUAAAAAUUAAGCACAAGGUAGUGUAAGCCUGUGCAAGUUUCAAACCCAAAUGGCUUUCAUUUGAAGAUGUACAUUAAAAAAUAAUAUAAAUCAUAUCUUGAUGAUUAUUUGACAUGAAAUUACAACAUGGUUAUUUGACAUGAAAUUACAACUUGCUUGACUAAGCGGUCACGAGUUUGAAUCUCACCACCGCCAUUCUAUUUGAUAAAAAUUAAGCACAAGGUAGUGUAAGCCUGUGCAAGUUUCAAACCCAAAUGACUUUCACUUGAAGGUGUGCAUUGAAAAAUAAUAUAAAUCAUAUCUCGAAGCGUUUCAAGCCCAAAUAGCUUUCACUUGAAGGUUCGAAGCCCCAUCUAAUAGUUUAAACUAUUAGAUUGAGAUGAUUAUUUGAAAAAGUACUAGAGUCUUGCUGACCAAGUGGUUACGAGUUCACCUGUAUUAUAAUUAAUAAAACAUUUAAAUACAAGAUAGCAGUGUGGACCUAAUGCAAGUCUAAUUAACAAUAUAGGGAUGGAUGGGGCACUUGAAUAGCGAUUAUGACCUCCAACAGACACGAAUCAGAAAUCUCAAUCUUGAACUGAGGUAUGAUCAUAGGCUGCAGAAUAGGUGUAUUUAGAGAUUCAGGUAAAACAACACGUUUGGAAACUUCAUGUAAGACUCUUGCCAUUUGCUUUCUUAUUGGUUUAAGCUAAAAAUACUAAUGCAUAGUGGAACAGAUUGGUCUCGGUACUGAAAAUUAAAGGUUCAGUUGGAAAUUAUAAAAACUGAAAGCAUAUAUUUAGG
rnacentral:lncRNA from 1 species